rnacentral:lncRNA from 1 species
AGUGGGCGUGCAGGAGAAGCUGUAGGUCAGGAGGUAGAGUUGGCAGUGGGCGUGCAGGAGAAGCUGUAGGUCGGAGAGGUAGAGUUGGCAGUGGGCGUGCAGGAGAAGCUGUAGGUCGGAGAGGUAGAGGUGGCAGUGGGCGUGCAGGAGAAGCUGUAGGUCAGAGUGGAGAGGUGGCAGUGGGCGUGCAGGAGAAGCUGUAGGUCGGGAGGUAGAGGUGGCAGUGGGCGUGCAGGAGAAGCUGUAGGUCAGGGGGUAGAGGUGGCAGUGGGCGUGCAGGAGAAGCUGUAGGUC